CCUACGGGAGGCAGCAGUGAGGAAUAUUGGUCAAUGGACGCAAGUCUGAACCAGCCAUGCCGCGUGCAGGAAGAAGGUGCUAUGCAUUGUAAACUGCUUUUAUACGGGGGUAAUUCCAGAUACGUGUAUCUGUUUGCAUGUACCGUAUGAAUAAGGAUCGGCUAACUCCGUGCCAGCAGCCGCGGUAAUACGGAGGGUCCGGGCGUUAUCCGGAUUUAUUGGGUUUAAAGGGUGCGUAGGCGGUCAGGUAAGGUAGAGGUGAAAGCUCGAUGCUCAACAUCGAAACUGCCUCGGAUACUGUCUGACUAGGGUGUAGUUGCGGAAGGCGGAAUGUGUGGUGUAGCGGUGAAAUGCUUAGAUAUCACACAGAACACCGAUUGCGAAGGCAGCUUGCUAAGCUAGUACUGACGCUGAGGCACGAAAGCGUGGGGAGCGAACAGGAUUAGAUACCCCAGUAGUC
rnacentral:rRNA from 1 species